rnacentral:rRNA from 1 species
UACGUAGGGUGCGAGCGUUGUCCGGAAUUAUUGGGCGUAAAGAGCUUGUAGGCGGUUUGUCGCGUCUGCCGUGAAAAUCCGAGGCUCAACCUCGGACUUGCGGUGGGUACGGGCAGACUAGAGUGUGGUAGGGGAGACUGGAAUUCCUGGUGUAGCGGUGAAAUGCGCAGAUAUCAGGAGGAACACCGAUGUCGAAGGCAGGUCUCUGGGCCACUACUGACGCUGAGAAGCGAAAGCAUGGGGAGCGAACAGG